rnacentral:rRNA from 1 species
AUUGAACGCUGGCGGCAGGCCUAACACAUGCAAGUCGAGCGGCAGCACGGGUACUUGUACCUGGUGGCGAGCGGCGGACGGGUGAGUAAUGCCUAGGAAUCUGCCUGGUAGUGGGGGAUAACGCUCGGAAACGGACGCUAAUACCGCAUACGUCCUACGGGAGAAAGCAGGGGACCUUCGGGCCUUGCGCUAUCAGAUGAGCCUAGGUCGGAUUAGCUAGUUGGUGAGGAAUGGCUCACCAAGGCGACGAUCCGUAACUGGUCUGAGAGGAUGAUCAGUCACACUGGAACUGAGACACGGUCCAGACUCCUACGGGAGGCAGCAGUGGGGAAUAUUGGAC